CCGACAUCGUUUUCUUCCCCAAAGGCAUUCUGCCACUAAAGGCAUCCUGGUUGCCAUGACCUGUACAUUCUUUGAGGCUUUCAAUGUUCCAGUUUUUUGGCCAAUUCUGGUGAUGUAUUUCAUUAUGCUGUUCUGUAUCACGAUGAAGAGGCAAAUCAAGCAUAUGAUAAAAUACCGAUAUAUACCGUUCACCCACGGCAAGAGGAGAUAUAAAGGAAAAGAAGACCCAGGGAAGACUUUUGCUAGCUAGAAACCCCCCACCCACCCCCCAAAAAAAACCUUGCUGACCAACUGCCCCCCUACCCCCAGCGUUAUAAUUAAAAAGACCGGUUUUGAACCAUUG